CUAUUCCCAAAAAUGCCACCUUAAUAUUUGAUAUAGAACUGUUAAAAAUGGAGUGAAGACAAAACAAAACAAGAUGUGAUGACGGCUGCUGGCUACAGCAAGCAAAGAGUUGUUCAAACGGAUGGUUCUUCUCAUUGAUGUUUUAGAUAUAGAUGUCUCUAACUCUUGCCCUGAUCCCGCUACUAAAUUUUAUCAUCAUUACCCCCUAAUUUAGUUUCACUUUAUUGACCCAACCAUACAAAAAAACUUUUUUUUCUUUUUUCCCAGUUCACACCAAAGAUUUCAAUUCCUCCACUUGUACCCUACCCCCUUUUUUUUCAUUUCUGUUUAAGCUAAGCUACCCACCACUGUGUUGUUGUUUUUUUGUUUUUUUUUAGUUCAGCUUAUUUUUUUUUUUUUUUUUUUUA